GUAAUAAUUUUUGCCCAUUAAGGAAGCGUUCGGGAACAAAUUGUGACAAAUGAUCCCUGACAGGAAACUAUUUUAAAUCCUUGGUAUAUCUUUAUCUCUAAAUUGAUUUUCGUCCCGAGUGAAUGGAGCAAGUAUAAUUGGAAGGGGUUGUCGACAAGGAAGGAAAAAGUUCCUUUCGACCAUAAACCGAGAUUCCAGAGCACCAACAAGCUACUUUUCACCGUCGUUGUUAUGCUCAUUUUCAAAGUUCAUU